GAUGAACGCUGGCGGUGUGCUUAACACAUGCAAGUCGAACGAAGCACCUUGAUUUGAUUCUUCGGAUGAAGAUCUUGGUGACUGAGUGGCGGACGGGUGAGUAACGCGUGGGUAACCUGCCUCAUACAGGGGGAUAACAGUUAGAAAUGACUGCUAAUACCGCAUAAGACCACAGCACCGCAUGGUGCAGGGGUAAAAACUCCGGUGGUAUGAGAUGGACCCGCGUCUGAUUAGGUAGUUGGUGGGGUAACGGCCUACCAAGCCGACGAUCAGUAGCCGACCUGAGAGGGUGACCGGCCACAUUGGGACUGAGACACGGCCCAAACUCCUACGGGAGGCAGCAGUGGGGAAUAUUGCACAAUGGGGGAAACCCUGAUGCAGCGACGCCGCGUGAGCGAUGAAGUAUUUCGGUAUGUAAAGCUCUAUCAGCAGGGAAGAAAAUGACGGUACCUGACGAAGAAGCACCGGCUAAAUACGUG
rnacentral:rRNA from 1 species